ACUCAAAGGAAUUGACGGGGGCCCGCACAAGCAGCGGAGCGUGUGGUUUAAUUCGAUGUUACACGAAGAACCUUACCCAGGUUUGACAUGUGAGUGGUAGGGAUCCGAAAGGUGACCGACCCGCAAGGGAGCUUUCACAGGUGCUGCAUGGCUGUCGUCAGCUCGUGUCGUGAGAUGUUCGGUUAAGUCCGCUAACGAGCGCAACCCUCGCUACGUGUUAUACGUGUCACGUGGGACCGCCGGUAUCAAGCCGGAGGAAGGUGGGGAUGACGUCAAGUCAGCAUGGCCUUUAUAUCUGGGGCUACACACACGCUACAAUGGUCGGUACAAUGGGUCGCUAAGCCGCGAGGUGGAGCCAAUCCCCAAAGCCGGCCUCAGUUCAGAUCACAGGCUGCAACUCGCCUGUGUGAAGUCGGAGUUGCUAGUAAAUGCGCGUCAGCUAUAGUGCAUUGAAUACGUUCUCGGGCCUUGUACACACCGCCCGU
rnacentral:rRNA from 1 species